rnacentral:rRNA from 1 species
UACAGAGGGUGCAAGCGUUUAAUCGGAAUUACUGGGCGUAAAGCGUGCGUAGUCGGUUAUUUAAGUCGGGUGUGAAAGCCCCGGGCUCAACCUGGGAAUUGCAUUCGAUACUGGAUAGCUAGAGUUCGGCAGAGGGAAGCGGAAUUUCCGGUGUAGCGGUGAAAUGCGUAGAUAUCGUAAGGAAGACCAGUGGCGAAGGCGAAUCUCUGGACAGUUACUGACACUGAGGCACGAAGGCCAGGGGAGCAAACGGG